AAAUUGAAGAGUUUGAUCAUGGCUCAGAUUGAACGCUGGCGGCAGGCCUAACACAUGCAAGUCGAGCGGAAACGAGUUAUCAGAACCUUCGGGGAACGAUAACGGCGUCGAGCGGCGGACGGGUGAGUAAUGCCUAGGAAAUUGCCCUGAUGUGGGGGAUAACCAUUGGAAACGAUGGCUAAUACCGCAUGAUGCCUACGGGCCAAAGAGGGGGACCUUCGGGCCUCUCGCGUCAGGAUAUGCCUAG
rnacentral:rRNA from 1 species